CUUUCCCUCUUUCUUUAGGCCUAACACAUGCAAGUCGAACGGCAGCACAGUAAGAGCUUGCUCUUACGGGUGGCGAGUGGCGGACGGGUGAGGAAUACAUCGGAAUCUACUUUUUCGUGGGGGAUAACGUAGGGAAACUUACGCUAAUACCGCAUACGACCUACGGGUGAAAGCAGUGGAUCUUCGGACCUUGCGCGAUUGAAUGAGCCGAUGUCGGAUUAGCUAGUUGGCGGGGUAAAGGCCCACCAAGGCGACGAUCCGUAGCUGGUCUGAGAGGAUGAUCAGCCACACUGGAACUGAGACACGGUCCAGACUCCUACGGGAGGCAGCAGUGGGGAAUAUUGGACAAUGGGCGCAAGCCUGAUCCAGCCAUACCGCGUGGGUGAAGAAGGCCUUCGGGUUGUAAAGCCCUUUUGUUGGGAAAGAAAAGCAGCAGGUUAAUACCCCGCUGUUCUGACGGUACCCAAAGAAUAAGCACCGGCUAACUUCGUG
rnacentral:rRNA from 1 species